rnacentral:lncRNA from 1 species
AUUAAAAUAAUUUCAUCCAAAGAACAUUGGGAGGGGGGGGGGCUUAAAAAAAACUGAAAUCAGGUCAUGCACACACCUAUGAAGACCUGAUUGAUGUCUUUUGGGGUAUUGGUGGCAGAGUGCUCUAUAGUAGUCAAAAAAAUAACAAACCAGAUGCCCCGCAGGGCGCAGCUGUAUACUACCGCAGAGUCAAACCUUGAAAAGUUGGCGCAAGUAUGGACACAACAUAAAAGCUUGGUACAGCUCUGAAUUUGGAUUGUGAUUAAAUAGUUGACACAAUAUAGGUUUCUGACACGAAUGAAUGUGGUCUAUGAACUUAAACAUAAAAACUUAAAAAUUUCAAAUUGGACAUUUAAAAACCAAUUAUGCCCAAAUUGGCACCUCAAUCAACCAGAUGCUCCGAAGGGGGCAGCUUUAUACGACAGCAGAGGUUGAACCCUGAACGGUUGGGGCAAGUAUGGACACAACAUAAAAGCUUGAUACAGCUCUGAAUUUGGAUUGUGAAAUAUAAAUAGUUGACACAAUAUAGGUUUCUGACACAGAAUGAAUGUGGUCUAACAACUCAAACAUAAAAACUUAAAAAUUUCAAAUUGGACAUUUAAAAACCUAUUAUGGUCCAAUAUCCAAAAUCUAAAUAUAUGGUUAGAUUCAGCAUAUCAUAAAACCCCAAGAAUUAAAUCUUUGAUGAAACCAAAUCAUGUUCAAUUUUAGAUCCCUUUAAUUAGACCUCAAUGUGGACCAAUUUGAUAACCAGGUCCAAAUAUUAACCAGAUGCUCCGCAGGGCGCAGCUUUAUACGACCGCAUAGGUUGAACCCUGAACGGUCGGGGUAAGUAUGGACACAACAUUUAAGCUGGAUUCAGCUCUAAAUUUGGAUUGUGAUUAAAUAGUUGACACAGCAUAGGUUUUGGACACAGAAUGAAUGUAGUCUAAUGAACUUAAAAUAAUUUUUUUGUCUUUGAGCAAUCACUAUGCUGUUGAAUAUUAAUCCUCUCAAAAAAAUGGUUGAAGAAAUUUUCUUUUUAUUUAUGAAAUCUGAAAUGAGAAAAAUUAACCCCCCCCCCCCCCACCACCAUUUUUUUUUCACAUCCCCCUUUCCCUUUUUUCAAAACUGAUCUCAAUUCAAAUUUCUAAUGGAGUUUGAAACAAUAACUACUCAUUUAAAUACAUCAUAAAAUAUUAAAAUGUAACAAAAAGUGCUUGUUAUCACUGAAUGGUAAAGAGUGUUUUAAUUUAUCAGUUGGUAGUAAAAGUGAAUAUACAUUGUGCAUUGUAUAAAACAAUGAUUUAAGUUGAUUCAACUACUAUUCUGGACAAAGAAAGAUAACUCCAAUCAAUUGAAAAUUUCUUGCUAUUGCACAAUAUUGUGCAAUUAGAUAUUUCUUGCUAUUGCGCAAUACUGUGCAAUUGAAAAUAUUUGCUAUUGCACAAUACUGUGCAAUUGAAGAUUUCUUGCUAUUGCACAAUACUGUGCAAUUGAACAUUUUUUGCUAUUGCACAAUACUGUGCAAUUGAAGAUUUCUUGCUAUUGCUGAAUACUGUGCAAUUGAAAAUUUCUUGCUAUUGCACAAUACUUAAUAUAAUAAUUUUGGAUCCUGAUUUGAACCAACUUGUAAACUGGGCCCAUAAUCAAAAAUCUAUGUACAUGAUUAAAUUCAGCAUAUCAAAAAAGCCAAAGAAUUCAAUUUUUAUUAAAAUCAAACUUAGUUUAAUUUUGGACCCUUUGGUAUUUAAUGU